rnacentral:sRNA from 1 species
AAUUCCUCCCUGGUUCCAUCUGGUGGUCACUGUUGUCUCUUCACAGGAUCAGGAAAAGUCUCAGAAAAGGGUCAGUCUUGCAGUUCUUGGGUCCGAUGAUUCAAAUAUUUUCAUAACCAGCGGCAGUUUGGGGAUGGCAUUUUUCAAAUACUGAAGCUAUUGAAUUCAAGUGUAUUUGGGGCAUUUGAGCCUCAAAAAUAUAACGGUGUAAAUUUUUAAUUUGGGAUUGUAACUUAUUUUGAUUAAAAUCAUUUCUAUAGACUGAGAUAACUUUUUAGUUUUCUGCUACUAUCUGAAUAAACUUGUAACUAAUUGAAAUUUCUGUUUCUUCUCCUUGGUGUAGCUUAUCAACCAGCCCAGCCGUAUCCCUUCGGAACAGGGGGGUCAGCAAUGUAUCGACCUCAGCAGCCUGUUGCUCCUCCUACUUCAAACGCUUACCCUAACACCCCUUACAUAUCUUCUGCUUCUUCCUAUACUGGGCAGUCUCAGCUGUACGCAGCACAGCACCAGGCCUCUUCACCUACCUCCAGCCCUGCUACUUCUUUCCCUCCUCCCCCUUCCUCUGGAGCAUCCUUCCAGCAUGGCGGACCAGGAGCUCCACCAUCAUCUUCAGCUUAUGCACUGCCUCCUGGAACAACAGGUACACUGCCUGCUGCCAGUGAGCUGCCUGCGUCCCAAAGAACAGGUCCUCAGAAUGGUUGGAAUGACCCUCCAGCUUUGAACAGAGUACCCAAAAAGAAGAAGAUGCCUGAAAACUUCAUGCCUCCUGUUCCCAUCACAUCACCAAUCAUGAACCCGUUGGGUGACCCCCAGUCACAAAUGCUGCAGC